rnacentral:rRNA from 1 species
GUACACACCGCCCGUCACACCAUGGGAGUGGGUUUCACCAGAAGUAGGUAGCCUAACCGCAAGGAGGGCGCUUACCACGGUGGGAUUCAUGACUGGGGUGAAGUCGUAACGAGGUAGCCGUAGGUGAACCUGCAGAAGGAU